rnacentral:rRNA from 1 species
AGCGAACGCUGGCGGCAGGCCUAACACAUGCAAGUCGAACGAACCCUUCGGGGUUAGUGGCGGACGGGUGAGUAACACGUGGGAACGUGCCUUUAGGUUCGGAAUAACUCAGGGAAACUUGUGCUAAUACCGAAUGUGCCCUUCGGGGGAAAGAUUUGUCGCCUUUAGAGCGGCCCGCGUCUGAUUAGCUAGUUGGUGAGGUAAUGGCUCACCAAGGCUACGAUCAGUAGCUGGUCUGAGAGGAUGACCAGCCACAUUGGGACUGAGGCACGGCCCAAACUCCUACGGGAGGCAGCAGUGGGCAAUCUUGCGCAAUGGGCGAAAGCCUGACGCAGCCAUGCCGCGUGGAUGAUGAAGGUCUUAGGAUUGUAAAAUCCUUUCACCGGUGAAGAUAAUGACUGUAGCCGGAGAAGAAGCCCCGGCUAACUUCGUGCCAGCCGCCGCCGUAAUAC